rnacentral:rRNA from 1 species
UGGGGAAUAUUGGACAAUGGGCGAAAGCCUGAUCCAGCCAUGCCGCGUGUGUGAAGAAGGUCUUCGGAUUGUAAAGCACUUUAAGUUGGGAGGAAGGGCAGUAAGCGAAUACCUUGCUGUUUUGACGUUACCGACAGUAUAAGCACCGGCUAACUCUGUGCCAGCAGCCGCGGUAAUACAGAGGGUGCAAGCGUUAAUCGGAAUUACUGGGCGUAAAGCGCGCGUAGGUGGUUCGUUAAGUUGAAUGUGAAAGCCCCGGGCUCAACCUGGGAACUGCAUCCAAAACUGGCGAGCUAGAGUAGGGCAGAGGGUGGUGGAAUUUCCUGUGUAGCGGUGAAAUGCGUAGAUAUAGGAAGGAACACCAGUGGCGAAGGCGACCACCUGGGCUCAUACUGACACUGAGGUGCGAAAGCGUGGGGAGCAAACAGG